ACGUGCUUGCACUGAUUUUAACAAUGAAGCGAGUGGCGAACUGGUGAGUAACACGUGGGAAAUCUGCCCAGAAGCAGGGGAUAACACUUGGAAACAGGUGCUAAUACCGUAUAACAACAAAAUCCGCAUGGAUUUUGUUUGAAAGGUGGCUUCGGCUAUCACUUCUGGAUGAUCCCGCGGCGUAUUAGUUAGUUGGUGAGGUAAAGGCCCACCAAGACGAUGAUACGUAGCCGACCUGAGAGGGUAAUCGGCCACAUUGGGACUGAGACACGGCCCAAACUCCUACGGGAGGCAGCAGUAGGGAAUCUUCCACAAUGGACGAAAGUCUGAUGGAGCAAUGCCGCGUGAGUGAAGAAGGGUUUCGGCUCGUAAAACUCUGUUGUUAAAGAAGAACACCUUUGAGAGUAACUGUUCAAGGGUUGACGGUAUUUAACCAGAAAGCCACGGCUAACUACGUGCCAGCAGCCGCGGUAAUACGUAGGUGGCAAGCGUUGUCCGGAUUUAUUGGGCGUAAAGCGAGCGCAGGCGGUUUUUUAAGUCUGAUGUGAAAGCCUUCGGCUUAACCGGAGAAGUGCAUCGGAAACUGGGAGACUUGAGUGCAGAAGAGGACAGUGGAACUCCAUGUGUAGCGGUGGAAUGCGUAGAUAUAUGGAAGAACACCAGUGGCGAAGGCGGCUGUCUAGUCUGUAACUGACGCUGAGGCUCGAAAGCAUGGGUAGCGAACAGGAUUAGAUACCCUGGUAGUCCAUGCCGUAAACGAUGAGUGCUAAGUGUUUGGAAGGGUUUCCGCCCUUCAGUGCUGCAGCUAACGCAUUAAGCACUCCGCCUGGGGGAGUACGACCGCAAGGUUGAAACUCAAAGGAAUUGACGGGGGCCCGCACAAGCGGUGGAGCAUUGUGGUUUAAUUCGAAGCUACGCGAAGAACCUUACCAGGUCUUGACAUCUUCUGCCAAUCUUAGAAGAUAAGACGUUCCCUUCGGGGACAGAAUGACAGGGGGGU
rnacentral:rRNA from 2 species